GUCGGCUUCAUUGGUGCUCGUCGACUCCGCAGACCAAUCUUUCCGAUCCGGUCUCUUCGAUUCUUCUCGACGGGAGGGUUGGACCUGUGGGAGCUUUAUCGGGAAUGGCGGAGGCGUCGAGGAGAAGACCGAAGACUAAGAUCGUGUGCACCUUGGGCCCGGCUUCGAGGUCCGAGGAGAUGAUCGAGAGGUUUUUGAUGGCGGGGAUGAAUGUGGCCAGGUUCAACUUCUCCCACGGUUCCCACGCUUACCAUCAGGAAACCCUAGAGAACCUCCGCGCCGCGAUGGACAAGACCGGAAUCCUCUGCGCUGUCAUGCUCGACACGAAGGGCCCUGAGAUCCGGACUGGGUUUUUGAAAGAUGGCAAACCUAUCCAUCUACAAAAGGGCCAAGAAAUCACUGUCACUGCAGAUUACAGCAUAAAGGGUGAUGAAAACAUGAUAUCAAUGUGCUACAAAAAGCUAGCAGAGGAUUUGAAGCCAAACAGUGCCAUUUUAUGUGCUGACGGGACUAUUACACUUACAGUGCUUGCUUGCGACAAGGAGUCAGGACUGGUUCGCUGCCGCUGCGAGAAUUCUGCAGUCCUUGGUGAGAGGAAAAAUGUCAAUCUUCCCGGCGUUAUCGUCGAUCUUCCAACUCUAACAGAGAAGGACAAGGAGGAUAUCCUGAAAUGGGGCAUCCCAAACAAAAUUGAUAUGAUUGCUCCUCGCUUUGUAUGCAAAGGUUCUGAUCUUGUGGAGGUCAGAAAGGUUCUUGGAAAACAUGCAAAGUCAAUCGUGCUGAUGUCCAAGGUUGAGAGUCAAGAAGGGGUAGCCAACUUUGAUGAUUUUCUUGCAAAUUCAGAUGCUUUCAUGGUGGCAGGGGGAGAUUUAGGAAUGGAAAUUCCCAUUGAGAAGAUAUUUUACGCCCUAAAGGUGAUGAUUUUCAAGUGCAAUAUGAAAGGAAAACCUGUUGUAAUCGCAACUCAGAUGUUGGAAUCGAUGAUUAAAUCUCCUCGGCCCACUCGAGCAGAAGCAACUGAUGUUGCUAAUGCAGUUCUUGAUGGCACCGACUGUGUGAUGCUUAGUGGUGAAACAGCUGCAGGUGCUUACCCGGAGCUAGCAGUUCAGACAAUGGCUCAGAUAUGCCUGGAAGCAGAGUCUUAUUCGGACUAUGGAGCUGUCUUUAAAGGAAUCCUGGCAACAGCACUGGUUCCUAUGAGCCCUAUAGAGAGCCUUGCAUCAUCAGCUGUUCGAACUGCCAACUCUGCCAAGGCAUCUCUCAUCUUGGUCCUGACGAGAGGGGGAAGCACCGCAAAACUAGUGGCACAAAGUACAUGCCAGCGAUGCCAAUAUUGUCAGUAGUGGUACCAGAAUUGAAGACAGAUUCCUUUGAUUGGUUCUGCAGCGACGAGGCUACUGCAAGGCACAGCCUUAUAUUUGGAGGAUUGAUUCCAGUUUUAAGCUGUGCGACAGCAAAGUCCUCAGACACCGAGUCUACCGACGAAGCCAUUGAAUUUGCUAUUCAGCAUGCAAAAGCAGCUGGCCUAUGCAAACCUGGAGAAUCGGUUGUGGCACUGCAUAGAGUUGGAGUUGCAUCUGUAAUCAAGAUCCUGACAGUUCAAUGAUCAAAGGCGACAAUUUUAUUGUACCACCUAAGACCUCAUCUAGAGGCAUUUUUGCUAAUUAGUACCCAAGUCUCUAUUUCAGGAAAGUGAUUAUAGGAAUUUUGUUGUUUGGGUUGGGAUUCAUGGAGUCUUCAGGAGGAUGGAGUUUUUGAGUAAUUUGUUUUGGAAGAGCUUCUCUCUUUUGUCUUGCAUCUUCUACUGUGAACAGUUGAAGUUGGUAUAAUGCAGCCAUAUACUGGUGAA